rnacentral:lncRNA from 1 species
AUUUUUUUUUUCUUCUUGUGGUGGCAGGAAUUGAACCCACCGAGCCACAUUCCCAGCUACUUUUAAAUCUUUUUACUUUGAGACAGAAUCUUGCUGAGUUGCCCAGGCUGGCUUCAAACUUGCCAUCUUCCUGCCUCAGCUCUGUAUCGCAGGCCUUUAAACAUGCAAAUCACCGCCACACUCUAGCUGAGCACGGCCCCUGCCCCCCUGCCUCCCGUCCUCCAUGCUGCGUCCCCUUUGCACAGCCCACGACCCUUGGGUCACAGCGCUGCCCCACCUCAUCUCAGAGAGCCCUGGGGACUCUAUCACCCUCGGGACUCUAUCGCCCUCCCUGCCUCUCCCCUCCUGGUCCCCCGUGUGUCCUUCCAGCCCUUGCUACUUGGCAACACAAUAUCUUACUUUCUUCUUCAUAGUUUCUCUUCCUGGCUGGUGACUUGCUCACCAGUCCCUGCACCCAGAGCCCGCUGUACCAAGCCUGCUCCCUGAGGGGUCAGUGUUGUCAAGCCCGGGUCAGCCCUGGGGUACAAGGCAAGUGUGAGGCUGACCCAGACUCCUGACCCUAAACUCUGCUGUCUCCUCUUCCCCUACCACUCUCUCCCCAAACCCCCAGGCCCUGGUCUGGGAUGAUUAUUACAGAAUUUAUUUUUCUACACUGGGCACUGAACCCAUGGUCUUUGCACUGAGCUACAUCCCAGCCCUUUUUAUUUUUUAUUUUGAGACGGGGUCUCACUAAGUCCCUAAGUUGUCCAGGCUGAGGCAGGAGGAUCGAAAGUUUGUACCCAGCUGGGAACUUUGGCACUUAGGAAGACCCUGCCUCAAAGUUGAACCCAGGUAGGACCUUGUGCAUGCUAAGCAUGCUGCACCCCAGCCCCAACUCUGUUUUGUUUUUAAACUGGAACCACUGAGUGGACCUGCAGUGAUG